rnacentral:ncRNA from 1 species
UAUAUUUGCGCCGCUGAUAUCAGCAUGCAUAAUAAUCAUUUAAAUAAUAUUGGAAUG